GAUUAACGCUGGCGGCGUGCCUAACACAUGCAAGUCGAGCGGCAGCGAGUUUUACACUGAAUUCUGGAAGCUUCUAGUUGAAAGAGAAGAUUUAUUCAAGAAUUUUGUGUAAAAUGUCGGCGAGCGGCGGACGGCUGAGUAACGCGUGGGAACGUACCCCAAAGUGAGGGAUAACGCAUCGAAAGGUGUGCUAAUACCGCAUAUGGUCUUCGGAUUAAAGCCUUCGGGCGCUUUGGGAACGGCCUGCGUAAGAUUAGAUAGUUGGUGGGGUAAUGGCCUACCAAGUCGACGAUCUUUAACUGGUUUGAGAGGAUGAUCAGUCAGACUGGAACUGAGACACGGUCCAGACUCCUACGAGAGGCAGCAGUGAGAAAUCUUCCACAAUGGGCGAAAGCCUGAUGGAGCAACGCCGCGUGCAGGAUGAAGGCCUUCGGGUUGUAAACUGCUUUUAUAAGUGAGGAUUAUGACAGUAACUUAUGAAUAAGGAUCGGCUAACUACGUG
rnacentral:rRNA from 1 species